AGUCGAGGGGCAGCAUGAUUUGUAGCAAUACAGAUUGAUGGCGACCGGCGCACGGGUGAGUAACGCGUAUGCAACUUACCUAUCAGAGGGGGAUAGCCCGGCGAAAGUCGGAUUAAUACCCCAUAAAACAGGGGUCCCGCAUGGGAAUAUUUGUUAAAGAUUCAUCGCUGAUAGAUAGGCAUGCGUUCCAUUAGGCAGUUGGCGGGGUAACGGCCCACCAAACCGACGAUGGAUAGGGGUUCUGAGAGGAAGGUCCCCCACAUUGGUACUGAGACACGGACCAAACUCCUACGGGAGGCAGCGGUGAGGAAUAUUGGUCAAUGGCCGAGAGGCUGAACCAGCCAAGUCGCGUGAAGGAAGAAGGAUCUAUGGUUUGUAAACUUCUUUUAUAGGGGAAUAAAGUGGAGGACGUGUCCUUUUUUGUAUGUACCCUAUGAAUAAGCAUCGGCUAACUCCGUGCCAGCAGCCGCGGUAAUACGGAGGAUGCGAGCGUUAUCCGGAUUUAUUGGGUUUAAAGGGUGCGUAGGUGGUGAUUUAAGUCAGCGGUGAAAGUUUGUGGCUCAACCAUAAAAUUGCCGUUGAAACUGGGUUACUUGAGUGUGUU
rnacentral:rRNA from 1 species